GGCCGCGUAGUGUAGUGGUUAGCACGUAGGAUUUGUAAGUUCUUCUUCAAAACAAUCUCUUCUUGAGUAUUCAUUCUAACAACUCUCAGUGAUUCAAACCAAGCUUUCCUGAGACCUGAGUUAAAUCCUCGGCGGGGCCU